rnacentral:rRNA from 1 species
CCCAAAAGUUCUAUUCGUCCGUUUCACGCUCCCACGGUCUCACUCUCACCCCCAAACCCAAAUCCCCAAACCCUAACCACAGCACCUACCUCCUCCUCCUCCGCCGCCGCCGCCAUGGCAGGAGCAGGAGUCGGCGGCCGCAAGGCUCGCAACUUCGCGACCUUUCGCCUAUUCCCCCGCGACGGUGCCGCCGACCCCAACGACCGCGUCUUCGUCCGCGUCGACAACAACGCCUACACCAUCCCUGGCUUCGGCGACGACGAAGACCCUUCCCUCUCCCCCACCGCCGCCGCCGACCAAUUCCCUUCCUCCACCUCUGCCCCCCUCCCCGACCACGUCCGCCAGCAGAUCCUUGAGCUCGGCCUCCCCGACGAUGGCUACAACUACCUUCUCCAUCUCCGUGAGCUGCGGCCCUCCGCUGUGGCCUCCUCCUUCGUGCCCAGCCAUACCGCCCGCCCAGAGCAACUUCCCCUGGACGUCAAGGCCUAUGAUGCAAGCAAGGUGCGGGUUGCUUCUGGCAAGGUCGAGGAAGAGCUGGACGAGGGGAGGACCAUGUGUAAGGUGGCCGCAAAGACGGCACCGGUGAGGCGAGUUGAGAAGGCCGUCGACCCUGACGUUGCAAGGUUGCUCGAUGAGAGCGAGGAUGAGGGUUUGGAGGAGGAUUUCGUCAUCAUGGCAAACCAAGCCGAAGGGGAUGACAUGGAGGAUGAAAGUGAGGAAGAGGGUGGUGGUGUGUUCAGUGAUGUGGAAAAUGAUGAGGAGUUCGACAAUGAAGAGGAUGAGCCCAAGCCGAGGGUGCCACGAUUGCUGGAUGAACAAUUUGAUUUGCUUGCUCUGGAAGAGUAUGGAGCUAGUGAUGAUGAUGAUGGAGCUGUUAGAGAUGGGGAACAUGAACUCCCAACAGAGGUUAUAGAUGAAUUGAAGUUGUUCCACAAUCAAAAUGUAUGUGUUGAUGAAGAAUAUAGAACACCAGCAGAUUUUGUUCGUGGAAAACUUGACUCAACCACCACUGAGGAGGUGGAUGAAUCUGCUAAUGUGAUCCAAAAGUGUGCUGAAUAUGCUGAAAGGUAUUUAAAUGAAACUGCAGAAGAUGAAGAGGUCUUGCUUGUUUCAGAAAGCAGUGAUGAAUCUGAAGUUUGGGACUGUGAGACCAUUGUUUCCACGUACUCUAACUUGGACAAUCAUCCUGGCAAAAUUCAAACUCCAGGAAAUCCUAGAAAUCGUCUUCCCAAAGUUUUCCCUGGGGAAACAGCAACAACGAAAGAUAUCAUCAAGCUUCAUGGUAAAGAGAAACUUCCUGUAGAUUACCUGCCACAGAGGAAAAGAAAAGUUGAAAAGGAGAAGAAAGCAAAGCCCACAGAAGCUUCAGAUGCUGAAUAUUAUUUUGAAAAGGUAGUAGUUCAGAAGGAAACAAAAGAUGAAAAGAAAGCUAGAAAGUCCGCGGUAAAAGAAGAGAAGAGAGAAGCCCGGAAAGCAAAGAAAGAGCUGAAAGAACUGUAUAAAUUUGAAACACAGAAGGCUCAGAAAGUUGCCGCUGUUACAGGACCAUCUUCCAUACGGCUAAUAUAAUUGUCCUGUGUCAUAUGUAGCAUGUUUCCUACAUCUGCUGAACGGUUGAAGCCUUGAAGACAGUGGUCCAGAGCAAGAUAGGUUGUCCCAUUCUCUGGACUGGAGGCAGUGAAUGAUUUUGCUUGGCGUUACCUUUUUACUGCCGAAUGUAUGAGUUUUGUGUUACCUUAAUGAGCACACCAAGUGAAUCAAAUGGGCGAAUAGUUUUGUGAGCUUACACAGAAAUUUGCAGGAUCCAGAUACCUCCGGAAAUCCUCUCUUCAAAACAGAGGUUACAAAGAUUUAUCAAUUCCAGGGGUUCGAGCAAAAGCAAAAUGCUCUUUCCGGUUGCUGGUAGUGCUAUUUCUUUCUAGGUUUUGCAGUAAUAUCAGUAUAUGAGAUUGUUUAUGAAAGCGGUAGUAUGACAAUCGAGUGGACGUGGUCCUGGUAUCUUUGUUGUUUGGGAUCUGUGACUGCAGUUUGUUGGGUAAAAUACCGGGCUGCAGCAAUAUUAGCAUACAUUCAUAACGUAUUUGUCAGAUUGCCAUGUGGCCUUGUGACAUUUCAAAUCGUUAGAGCAUCUCUACCCUCUACCAGAUUCCUCGAAAGUAAAAGUUAUAUCCG